GAUCAUUUGAUGAGAAAAGAAAACUGCAACAAUAAUAUCGGAUAUAACUCCAUGAUUACUUGUAUUUAAGUCUCUGAUGAUC